AAGUCGUAACAAGGUUUCCGUAGGUGAACCUGCGGAAGGAUCAUUAACACAAUUUCCAAAACAAAAGUCUUCUUCUUUUCUUUUCUUCUCGUAAGGGAAAGGGAAGGAAGGGAGGAGCAAUUUCCAAAACCCCUAUUCAGAAGAGUGUGUGUGUGUGUAAUGUGGGAAAGAGAUCAACAGUCUUUUUUCUCAUGUUACCUCCGCCUUUCUCUUUGUUUUUUUUCCUCAUUUAAAACAACUACUAAAUCAACCAAAAACAAACCCAAAAAAUACUAUAAAACAAAAUAAUAAAUAAAUAACAAAACAAAAACUCUUAGCAACGGAUAUCUUGGUUCUC
rnacentral:misc_RNA from 1 species